AUUCAUCUGAUCAGUCCCAAUUAGGACGAAAUGAGUGUCCUGGAU
rnacentral:hammerhead_ribozyme from 1 species